UACAAUAACCCAAAAACCUAAAUCUAACUGAACUGUUAUACGGAAAUAACGAAGUCUCGAUUUCUCUUGGACGAAAUCAAAAUAGGGCAAUGGAGAUUGGAGACUCGCUUUUGAAGAUCACUCUAAUGGAGCUGGUGUGCUCUAGUAGAUUGCAUUCCGCUUCUCGCAACAACCUCCGUCGAUACCGAAUGAACUACAGAUUGAUAAAAAAUGAAAGCGAUUCGAAAUUCGAUGGGUCAGUUGAAGUGCGAAUUUCAGCUGCGUGCAUAUCAAAGAUCUCCUGAGGUGAUUCAAUUUCUAUUUCUAUCUAAAAUCUCUAAAAAAGUUUUGUAUAAUGUGUGCGAUUUUUUUCUUUGGCGUGCAUUUUUAUUUUUACUAACUUAAUCAGGAUUGAAGUCUUGGCUUCUCUUGAUAAUGAUGUGUUUGAAUCCAUAAAGCUGGCAAAGGUGCGUUUAGAAGUAAUUUUAAUAGAGAAUUUCAAUGGUUUUGUAAUCUGUUCUAGUUUGUAGAUAAGGUGUUUGUUGUUUUGUCUUGGAAAUUGGGUCCUCACUACUGAUGUCGGAGAUGGAAAGCGAAGUUUAAUUUCUGAGGAUAGAGAUAGUGGUGUUGCUUUUGAGAUGCAUUUAAAGGUAAACCUGCACAACACAUUUUUUAUCUACUUUGUGUAUCCAAGUCUUAAUUUCACUGGCAGUGGUGAAGUUAUUUAUGUAAGCUUUUAUGUCUUUGUUGAAUUCAUAAAAUGUGAUUGUAAUGCAGCUCUUGAAAGAGUUUCUCAAAGAUUUGGCCUCUUUGAAAAGAGCAAAUGAUCUUUGUUGAAUUCAUAAAAUUUUUUUAAAUUAUUCUUGCUUAGUUUUUGAUUUUCCUAGUUGAUGUUUUUGGUUGUAUAAUGUUACGGUACAUGUAUGUAUAAGAUUAAUAAUAAUAGUAAGAACACUUCACAUCUAUCUUUCUCUCUCUCUUGUAAUUUCUUAGUAACAUUAUUAGGUGUUCUAUUAUUAACAACUUUAAGCUCAGAUCAGGCAGAAGCUUACAUAUUCAUUAUGAAGCAAGUGGUGUUGAAAUUGGUUUCAUGAUGAAGUAGAUUACAAAGACAGUGUCUGUCCAUUCAGGGAUUGAUUAAAUUCCAUAGAUUCCAUGAAAUUGACAAUAACAGGGGACAUAAAUCUGUAAGUUGGUAAGCAAGUUGAGGAGCAAUUUGUAAUGUAUUUUGAUCGGCAAUCUUUUCUCUUGUCUUCGAUUUCGAUUUUGAUUUUUCCGUUUGAUUCUUUUGGAUCUAGUUUCGCAGUAGGAGAUUCUUCCUUUGCCAAAGGUAAAUUACUGAAUUAGUUUAACUCUGUUUGCUCUGGAAUCAAUUUCUAUGCUUGUUUGUUCUAUCAUGUUUCUCUCUACAGGUUUCUAUUGGGUUUGUAUUCCUCUAGAAUGUGGACCUAAAUUGAGAUAGUUCAGAUUCUAGAGAUGCCAAAUUCAAAGAAUGUGGAUCUUUGAAACUCAUUGAGGUGUCUGGUUUAGAAUCACUUAUAUACUUGUUUGUUUGUAUCACCACAUCAACACAUUGGAUGGAUUUACUUCAUCUCCAACAGUUUUUGAAGAGCAAGCAACAUGAGUCUCCUCAAGAGACUAUUCAAGCAUUGGAUGUUGUUCUCAGGGAUGCUCCAUCGAAACUGCACUAUUGAGAUGGUAGAUGUGAAUCAUGGUAGUGAAAUUCAUGCUUGUGCUCAUAAAUAGAUUUUUUCAUCAAAAUUCCAAAGAAAGUCUCGAUGUGUUGGAUUUCAAGACUUAGCAAUAUUCUUGUAAUGAGAUUUAUUAUAUUUAUAAGGCCAAAUCAGUUGGUGUGUUUGAGAUUUAGUUUAUUAGAAUGUUGUAUUUCAUAUUUUGGAUAUUUCGAAUCACAAAACAGGUAUUAUGAAAUAAAAUUAAUUAGUCUUUCUAA